rnacentral:tRNA from 1 species
GGUAAAGUGGCCGAGUAGGUGGCAGGUUGUAGCCCUGAAGACAGAGGUUAGAGUCCUCUCUUUACUA